UUGUUGUAACCAUGCGAAAGUUGAUUUUAUCAUGAACAAAUAAAACUAUUCAUAACUUUUUUAUAAAAGAAAUAUGUUUUUUUUUGUGGUUGCAGGACGAUUAUAGACUAUAGAAUAAGGAGAAGAUUAAAGUAUGACAGAAACGAGGAAGGGAGAAUACUCUUUCAUAUGCCCCUUUUCUCUUUUGUAGUAAAAUUUGUUAAAAAAAAACAACAACAAGAACUACAAAGGAUAACUUCGCUUAAAACAGGAC
rnacentral:lncRNA from 1 species